UACGUAGGGGGCAAGCGUUGUCCGGAAUCAUUGGGCGUAAAGAGCGUGUAGGCGGCUCGGUAAGUCCGCUGUGAAAGUCCAGGGCUCAACCCUGGAAUGCCGGUGGAAACUGUCGAGCUAGAGUCCGGAAGAGGCGAGUGGAAUUCCUGGUGUAGCGGUGAAAUGCGCAGAUAUCAGGAGGAACACCGAUGGCGAAGGCAGCCCCCUGGGCUGACACUGACGCUCAGGCACGAAAGCGUGGGGAGCAAACAGG
rnacentral:rRNA from 1 species